UGUUCAGAGAGGGAGCUAGAGAGAUCCAGAGAUAGAUCCUUUCUGUCAGCCCAGACCAUCUUUUUAUCCUAUCUUAGAAAGGGCUUGGCCAAGUUUUAUCAUUAACUUGUGACCUCACUUUAUAAUUAAUAGAACCUCCCUCUAGGGAAAAUACACCCUAGAUCUUUAUGUUACCCUAACACUAGAUGGCACUAGUACUCCAUAC